UCGGUUUAUCCGAAUUAUUUUUCUGAAAAUCCGAAAAUCAAAUCGUUUAACCAAAUUUCUAAAAUUUGAAAUCAAAACCAAUCCGGAAAACCAAAAAACCAAACCAAAAUUAAAUAUCAAUUUAGUUUUUCGGUUUAAACCAAAAUAUGCCCAGCCCUAUUCUCAAGUACUAUCCACCUUUAUAGUGACGAUUAUAAUUUAUUAAUUUGGUAAAAUAAAUUCUCAUAUAGAAGUUAUUUACAAACAAUAAAGAAUACAACAAACCCAGUGUAGUCCCAUAAGCGAGGUUUGGGGAGGUUACAUUGUACACAAACCUUACCUACCUUGUGGAGAUAGAGAGAUUGUUUUCAAAAGAACCUUGGCUCGAGUAACGCAAAUUAGAACAGUUAAAAGAAAAAUAUGCAAGUACAGGGGACAUUAAAAAUAGGGAAAGCAUAACAUAUCAUUCAAAAAACAUGAGCAAUAACAAUAACCAACUAAUUUGAUAACUGAACUACUGAAGCACACUAGAGGAGCAACAAAAAUCGUAAGACAGGCAACCCCGAGAAAGAUACAUCCAACCUCUCACACCUCCUAACCGACACAUCCCCGCACCUCAUCUUCACGUGUCCGAACCAUCUUAGCUUCGCUUCCCUCAACUUGUCCGCCGCAUAGGCCACUCCCACCUUGCCUCCUAUAACUUUGUUUCUUAUCAUCUCUCCUAGUGUGCCCUCACAUCCAUCUGAGCAUCUUUAUCUUCGUUGCCUUCAUUAUCUGAACGUGUGCGUUCUUGACUGCCAGUACUCUGCUGUUGGUCUAAUCACCACUCGAUAGAACUUACCUUUAAGUCUUGAGAACACACUUUUAUUACAACGUACCCAAGAGGUGAGCCUCUAUAUCACCCACCCCACACCAAUACAAUGUGCGAUAUCAUCAUCAAUCCCUCUGUCUUCUAGGUUUACGGACCCAAGGUACUUGAAACUUCCUCUCUUGAGUAUGACUUGUGAUUUGUCACAUCUAUCUCCACCUCAUGAAUUACGUCACGAACUUACAUUCUAGGUACUCUGUUUUAGUCUUGCUUAACGUGAAACCUUUACACUCUAGGGUCUGUCUCAAAACUUUCAACUUAUCAUUAACUCCAUUGCACGUUUCAUCAAUCAAUAUUAUGUCAUAUAUGAAUACCAUACACCACGACACCUACCCUUAAAUAUGUAGUAUCAAUUCGUCCAUUACUAAAGCAAAAAGAAACGGGCUAAGGGUUGAUCCUUGGUGCAACCUCAUCACGAUCGAGAAGUGUUUUGAGUCACCUCAGAUUGUUCCAACCCGGGUCUUAGCUUACAUCGUACAUGUCCUUAAUUGUCCUAAUGUACGCCACAAGUACACCUCUAGACUCCAAACAUCUCCAAACGACCUCCUUAGGGAUUUUAUCAUAUGUCUUUUCUAGAUCAAUACACACCACAUGUAAGUCUCUUUUCUUGUCCCUAUACUGCUCCAACAAUCUCUGUACCAGAUGGAUGUCUAAUGUAGUUAAUCACUUCGGCAUGAAUCUGAAUUAGUUCUUGGAGAUAGACACACCCUUCCCAACCUCAACUCGACCACCCUCUCCCAAACUUUGUAGUUUUUUUUUUUUUUAUAACCGUGGUGUCCGGGCCAGCUUGUGCGCAAGCUCGACUAAAUCCACGGGAUACCUGCCACCUCCCACCAACAACAGGUACCAGGUAACUUUGUCCACCAAGGCUAGAACAGAUGGGAAGAAAACAUCUAGUGUUUGUCUCUGCUGGAAAUUGAACCCGAGACCUCAUGGUGCUCAUCCCAAUUUCAUUGAACCACUAGGCCACACCCUUAGGUGCAUGGCUUGGUAGCUUGAUACCCCUAUAAUUGUUGUUGUUAUAAAUGUCACCCUUCUCCUUGUAUACUAGCAUUCAAAAGCUACUGUUGUUUUUUCCACCGUAACCGCCAACUUUGCUAUCUUAUACCUUUCCUUAUUCGUUGGUUUUGCCUCCUUAUCCUUAUUUCCACUAACUCCGCACACGCCACCUUCUUUGCCUCCACCUUCCCUUGGACUUCUCAUCCCACCACCAGUCCUCUCGAUGCUCACCAAAUUUACCUCUCGAGACCCCAAUACCUCUCCAGCCUUAACCCUAAUGCAAUUAGUGGUCCUAUCUCACAUACUAUCUAUAUCUCCACUACUCCCUAAGGCCUUCACUGCCACCAACAUCUCCCCCAUUUCCUGGUCAUUGGCCAUAUACAAGCUACCCCAUUUGAUCCUUGACUGGUCAUCCAUAAACCUCUUCUUUCUCUUCCUCCUGAUCUCUAAUUUCAACACCAAUAGCUUAUGUUGGAUCGUGAGUGCUUACUUAGGACAACCGUACAAUCUUUACAAAGGUCUGUAUCAUCCUUCGAAAGAAGCCAAAAGUCUAUCUUAGUCUUAGUCGCCAUCUAACGGAAGGUUACCAAGUGCUCAUUAUGAAUUAGCUACCACCAACCCAAAAGCUCGUGUGAAAUCCAAAAGUGUGGCUUUACCUCGUUCUAGUCCCCAAACACAAAACCUCCAUGCGCAUCAUCAUAUCCCCUCGAAGUUGACCCGAUGUUCGAUUGACAUCACCUCUUAUGAAUAGCUUCUCAGCGAGCAGUAUACCGCUCACCAUCUCAUCUAAAUCCUCCCAAAAUCACUUCUUGUCCUCCUCGUCCAAGCCUGCUUGCCUAUAUCUUUUUUUAUUGGAAUUACGAGAGCACAUAUGUAAGAGACAACCAAUUCGUGAACACAACUUUAGGAAACCUUCUUUGUACUUUUGCAAAACAUCUAUGACACUCAUGGUAUGAUGGAUUGUUAAGAUGGAUCAUUGAUUGCUCUUUGUAAAGAGUGACAUUUUUGUCUACUAUUCUUCAUAAAGUAUGCACAAUUCGUAUAUCCUUUUUCUUAGUAAUCACUUAAAUCAAGAAGCUAGGUAAAACAAAUAAAGUCUGCAAAAGGCAGUUCCUUCUCUUCCACAACAAAUAAUAACAUUUCCAAUCGUGUAAUAGAAAAUCUAAUCGAGUCACUUAAAAGGCCAUUAAAAUCAAGUAUAUUUUAAAUGCCCCUACAAGCUGAACACUCAACCUAAAUUAUAAUUUCGUUCCUAUCUCUACACCAUGAAAUAACCCUCCAUCAAUAUGUAGUUUGGUUCUAGAAUGUCUACCCAAGAUGUGGAGGUAAUGUGUAAUAAGUAAGCAACGUAAACAAUUGGUUGCCAAGACUGAAAUGUAGCUUAGUGAGGAGAAUCGGCCUCCAUGAACUUUUUUGCGCUUUAGGCUUAAGCGCGCUUAAAUGAGCCUUUGCCACUGAUCUGAAGGAGAGACCAUUUUGAUUAUCAAUGAGUUGAUGAUUUUUAACAUAUUUGCCAAUUUAAAUCUGUUGUUUCUCGAUGUGGUUUUCAGACUUCGAAAGUAGUUAUUUCCUUCCUAGAAAUGUUUUCUUAGUUCCUUUUCUUGGCGUUGCAACUUGUCCACUUGCCUUACAUGACUAUGACUUUUUCUUUAUGAUGAGGGUCACUUGCCUUACAUGACUAUUUGUUCAACUGGCUCUUUUCUGUGAGUAAAUAUUAUACUUUAUCAAAAGUUACAUUGGUCACGCCUCGUUCAUAUAAAGUUUUUAGUCAAACUAAAAAGGGAUACAUUGAUCAACAGAAACUUUUAAAAAGAUGAGUGUUUCCUUUUUAAUUUACUAAAAAACACACUACUCUUCCACACUGGAAGUAAAAUCAUAAAAAAGAGGUGGAGAUAAAAUUGUAGCGAAAACAAAAGGAGAACGUACUCUACUGUGAACUACAUAAAAAUGAGAUUUUACAAAGUCAAAAACUUUUUCUCAAUCAGAUCAGUUAAGAUUUGUAGCAAGUUCAGUUCAAUGCUUGGCGAAAGAAGGAAGGCAAGAAACUAUUCUUAAAAUUAUCUAAAUGAGAGUGCAGGAAUUUUAUGGAAUUGGAUACUAUCUUAAAAGUGACUACAUAAAUUUGAAACCAAGGCUUGGCCUGAGAAAAUUCAAAACACAAGAGAAGCAUUCAAAAUGCAAAGAGAUGCCACGAUGUUGGAAAACAAACUGUAAGCUGUUAACCUACCUUUAUAGCGUAAUAGAAGGGAUUUUCUACGUUCAUUUGUUGAGCUAGAAGGUACUUGCAUCUUAAUGGUUAGCAUGAUCGGACAACUAGUAAAUAUUGUAUAUAUUAAUAUAGCUAUAUAUUAUUGUAUAUUAGGGUAAUUACAGAGAUUUGAUUUAGUAAUUAAAGAGAGUAUUAUUGAUUAUAGUAGAUCAGAUUUGGUGGGAUAGGAUAGCGGAUUUAGAGGGAUAAGAAAGUUGACCUUUAUGGAUAGGAAAAACGAAUCUUUAGGGAUGUAAUCUUUGAAUACUUUCUAUUUAACGAGAAGACUCUCAAUAUUGAGAGACAUUCAGUAGAAAAUUGACAUGGUAUUAGAACCUUCUCUUGGCUGUCUAGUUUCAUAAAGUCCAUCUGUGAUACUUUUCAAUUUUUAUUUUUUUCUGAAAAUUUUGAUUUUGUUGAUUGUUCAUCGACAAUUAACACCUAGAACUUUGAUCUUGGUCAUUUUGAUUGUUCUUUUGAGUCACAGUAUUUCUAGUUUUCAUAAAUAUGACCACAUCAAUUUGAAUCACUCAGUGUUCGUUUCACUGGAAAGAAUUUUUCGUCCUGAAAGUUUCAGUUUUAGUUAUUUGUCACCGGAAAAGAACUAUGGGGCCAUCUAGAUACAGUUGAUCCUGCUCCUACCGAUCCUACAAAAUUAGGUGAAUGGAUGAUUAAAGAUGCUCAGGUGAUGAAAUGGCUUUUGGGAUCAACUGACCCUCUUAUUGUUCUUAAUCUCAGGACUUACACGACAGCUAAAGGCUAAAGUCAUGUGGGAUUAUUUACAAAAGAUUUACAACCAAGAUAUUAGUGCCCGACAACUUCACUUAGAGUAUGAAAUUGCUAAUUACUCUCGGGGAGGUCUCUCUAUUCAAGAUUAUUUUCUGGAUUUUUAAACUUAUGGGCUGAAUUUACAGGUACUGUUUAUGCCAAAAUACCUACCAGAUCUCUCUCUAUAAUUCAGGAAGCAAAGCAAGCGAGAUCAAUUUUUGAUGAAGUUACGCUCUGAGUUUGAGUGUUCGCUUUACUUGAUGAAUCCUGACCCGUGACCCGUCUCCCUCCCUGGAUGUUUGUUUUAAGGAAUUAAUUGUGAAGAGCAACAUUUGUCAGACAAAAUGCUUUCAAAAGAGGAAAUGAUGUAGCUGUUGCAUUUGCUGCUCAAGGUAAAGAAAAGGGUAGGGAUAUGACCAGAACUCACUGCUACAGUUGCAAGGAAUAUGGCCAUAUUGCUAGUAAUUAUGGCAAAACGGUCUGUAAUUAUUGUAAAAAACAAGGACACAUUAUCAAAGAGUGUCCCACACUCCCUCAAAAUUGUAAGGUAAAGGUUUUCCAAGCAGGGAUAAAUGGUUCCACUCUUAAGAACUCAUCUUCAGGACAAGUUCUUACUCCUGAAAUGGGAUAACAAAUGAUCGUAUUAGCCUUUCUAGCAUUGGGACUACAAGGAUCAGGUGUCGGGGACGAUAAUCACGAAGGGGCUUAAAGUUAAAAGAUUGUUUCCUAUACAUUUUUUCAUCCCUCCUGUUAUAUUUUUUGCUUGUACUUCUACAGCUAAUAAACUGAGGUUUGUCAUAAACAUCUAGGACAUCCAAAUUCUGUUGUGUUGUCUUAUUUAUCAAAUUCUGGUUUAUUGGAAAAUAAAAAUCAAUUUUCCACGGCUUUAUUUGAUUGUUCUACUUGUAAAUUAGGCAAAA